AAUUAUAGAAUCUUGUCAUUCACUGAUUAUAGUAUCCAAUAAGGAAUCCUGCUGAUGCUAAGAGAUACUGAUAAAAAAUGUUAUUUCACGGGAGUAUAGAUGAUUACCAACUUACAGAGCCUUCAUUUGCGACUGUCUUCUCUUAGAAUUUUCUUACUAUAAAUUAGGUCCCCACGAUAAAGCCCAGGGUUGGUUGUUAACCUCUACAGCCAAAUCAGAUAGGAUGCUUCUCUGAACCCUGAACCAGUUGAGGUCUGAAGCAGCUGACUCAGCCUGCGGUUGUGCUGGGGACUAAUAACAUUAGCAAUAAUGCCCGGAAACUUAGCCAGUGCCCUGUGUGUGAGUGUGCAUCCCCUUCGGAACAAUCCUCAAAGCCUGAGGGAUGGUUUAAUUGCCAUGAUCUUAUUCACGGAGGCUUUAGCAAUAAAGUUGCCAUUGCAGUGGCAGUCAUGCAUCCCCAGGCAGGUGAAUCUGUCCCCUCUCACUCGCUGCCCUGCUCUGCAUUUUCUUUAUUCCAUAGCACCUGUCACCCUUUAACACACUAUGAACUUUCUUAUUCUGUUUACUACUUAUUGUCUGUCUUCCCCACUAGGGCAUAAGCUGCAUGAGGGCAGAGAUUUUUGCUUUGCUCACUGAGCCUAGCACAUAGGAAGUGCUGGAUAAAUAUUUAUUACACGAAUGAAGAUGCCAGAGAAAAUGCUCAUCCACCAACAUUUACAAUUCAAAGAUGUGCAGAAGCUUUUGCGCAUGCUGAAUAUUCACAUUGAUUUUUUUUUUUUUUUUUUAGUCAGGUGACCUGAAUUUUCAUGUGUUUUGAAAUUCUUUCCAGAGAUGAAGCAUUUCCAUGCUGGCUGCAGUGUUGACGGUUCAUUGAGGAUAUUUCUCCUCUCAGUAAUUCCCUCCUCCACUAUGAUCAUCACUACCUUUAAGGCAGAGCCAAGAGGCUUAUGACUCCAGGAGACAAGAAAGAUCUGGAAAGAAAGGGGAUAUAAUGUGGAGGAAGAUUCUGUUCUGUAGAAAAGGAAAGGAGAAGAAGGAAAAGGAGGAGAAGAAAAAGGGGUAAAAGACGAGGAAGAAAAAUAAGGAGGAGAAGGAAGAGGAGAAUUAGAAGGACGAGGAGGAGGAGGAGGAGGAGAAAGACAAGGAGGAGGAGGAAAAAGAAGAAAUCUCUCUACCAGAAGAGCAAGGGAAUCAUUUGGAAUGAGUGUGCUCAUCUGUGACUCUGGAAGGAGACAGCCCCACGUGGCUCCCAUCUGGCAACACAGAGCAGCCGCUGCCAAGCAGGAGUGGAACUGUGUCCAACUUAAGAUGCUGACACAACAAAUUCUGAUUCUAAGUGACUUGGCCAGAUUCCCACCUACAGAUCAAGCAGGAUUUUCUGGUAAAUAAAACAUUCAUGCAUUUUUUAUUAGUGCAUGAUUCUUUUUUAUGAAAUUGUCAUUGCCAUUUUAAAGUGCAUCCUAAAUUCUAAUAUUCAGUGCAAGAUUC